rnacentral:rRNA from 1 species
GAUGAACGCUAGCUACAGGCUUAACACAUGCAAGUCGAGGGGAACGACAUCGAAAGCUUGCUUUUGAUGGGCGUCGACCGGCGCACGGGUGAGUAACGCGUAUCCAACCUGCCCACCACUUGGGGGAUAACCUUGCGAAAGUAAGACUAAUACCCAAUGAUAUCCCACGAAGGCAUCCGAAUGGGAUUAAAGAUUUAUCGGUGAUGGAUGGGGAUGCGUCUGAUUAGCUUGUUGGCGGGGUAACGGCCCACCAAGGCAACGAUCAGUAGGGGUUCUGAGAGGAAGGUCCCCCCACAUUGGAACUGAGACACGGUCCAAACUCCUACGGGAGGCAGCAGUGAGGAAUAUUGGUCAAUGGGCGAGAGCCUGAACCAGCCAAGUAGCGUGCAGGAUGACGGCCCUAUGGGUUGUAAACUGCUUUUAUAAGGGAAUAAAGUGGGUCACGUGUGACUUUUUGCAUGUACCUUAUGAAUAAGGACCGGCUAAUUCCGUG